UGAUCCUGCCUCUAGAGGAACGCUAGCUACAGGCUUAACACAUGCAAGUCGACCUUCAGCAUUUUAGUUUGCUUGCAAACUGAAGAUGGCGACCGGCGCACGGGUGAGUAACACGUAUCCAACCUGCCGAUAACUCCGGAAUAGCCUUUCGAAAGAAAGAUUAAUACCGGAUAGCAUACGAAUAUCGCAUGAUAUUUUUAUUAAAGAAUUUCGGUUAUCGAUGGGGAUGCGUUCCAUUAGUUUGUUGGCGGGGUAACGGCCCACCAAGACAACGAUGGAUAGGGGUUCUGAGAGGAAGGUCCCCCACAUUGGAACUGAGACACGGUCCAAACUCCUACGGGAGGCAGCAGUGAGGAAUAUUGGUCAAUGGGCGAGAGCCUGAACCAGCUAAGUAGCGUGAAGGAUGAAGGCUCUAUGGGUCGUAAACUUCUUUUAUAUGGGAAUAAAGUUUUCCACGUGUGGAAUUUUGUAUGUACCAUAUGAAUAAGGAUCGGCUAACUCCGUGCCAGCAGCCGCGGUAAUACGGAGGAUCCGAGCGUUAUCCGGAUUUAUUGGGUUUAAAGGGAGCGUAGGUGGAUUGUUAAGUCAGUUGUGAAAGUUUGCGGCUCAACCGUAAAAUUGCAGUUGAAACUGGCAGUCUUGAGUACAGUAGAGGUGGGCGGAAUUCGUGGUGUAGCGGUGAAAUGCUUAGAUAUCACGAAGAACUCCGAUUGCGAAGGCAGCUCACUAGACUGUCACUGACACUGAUGCUCGAAAGUGUGGGUAUCAAACAGGAUUAGAUACCCUGGUAGUCCACACAGUAAACGAUGAAUACUCGCUGUUUGCGAUAUACAGUAAGCGGCCAAGCGAAAGCAUUAAGUAUUCCACCUGGGGAGUACGCCGGCAACGGUGAAACUCAAAGGAAUUGACGGGGGCCCGCACAAGCGGAGGAACAUGUGGUUUAAUUCGAUGAUACGCGAGGAACCUUGCCCGGGCUUAAAUUGCAACAGAAUAUAUUGGAAACAGUAUAGCCGUAAGGCUGUUGUGAAGGUGCUGCAUGGUUGUCGUCAGCUCGUGCCGUGAGGUGUCGGCUUAAGUGCCAUAACGAGCGCAACCCUUAUCUUUAGUUACUAACAGGUGAUGCUGAGGACUCUAGAGAGACUGCCGUCGUAAGAUGUGAGGAAGGUGGGGAUGACGUCAAAUCAGCACGGCCCUUACGUCCGGGGCUACACACGUGUUACAAUGGGGGGUACAGAAGGCGGCUACCUGGUGACAGGAUGCUAAUCCCAAAAACCUCUCUCAGUUCGGAUCGAAGUCUGCAACCCGACUUCGUGAAGCUGGAUUCGCUAGUAAUCGCGCAUCAGCCAUGGCGCGGUGAAUACGUUCCCGGGCCUUGUACACACCGCCCGUCAAGCCAUGAAAGCCGGGGGUACCUGAAGUACGUAACCGCAAGGAGCGUCCUAGGGUAAAACUGGUAAUUGGGGC
rnacentral:rRNA from 1 species